rnacentral:rRNA from 1 species
UUCCAGACUCCUACGGGAGGCAGCAGUGAGGAAUAUUGGUCAAUGGUCGGGAGACUGAACCAGCCAAGCCGCGUGAGGGAUGAAGGUACAGAGUAUCGUAAACCUCUUUUGUCAGGGAACAAAGGCGGGGACGCGUCCCCGGAUGAGUGUACCUGAAGAAAAAGCAUCGGCUAACUCCGUGCCAGCAGCCGCGGUAAUACGGAGGAUGCGAGCGUUAUCCGGAUUUAUUGGGUUUAAAGGGUGCGUAGGCGGACUGGAAAGUCAGCGGUAAAAUCGAGAGGCUCAACCUCUUUCCGCCGUUGAAACUGUCGGUCUUGAGUGGGCGAGAAGUAUGCGGAAUGCGUGGUGUAGCGGUGAAAUGCAUAGAUAUCACGCAGAACUCCGAUUGCGAAGGCAGCAUACCGGCGCCCAACUGACGCUGAAGCACGAAAGCGUGGGUAUCGAACAGGAUUAGAUACCCUCGUAA